rnacentral:rRNA from 1 species
GACAGAGGGUGCAAAUGUUGUUCGGAAUUACUGGGCGUAAAGCGCGUGUAGGCUGCUCGGAAAGUCGGGUGUGAAAGCCCUGGGCUCAACCUAGGAAGUGCACUCGAAACUUCCGAGCUGGAGUGCUGGAGAGGAAGGCGGAAUUCUCGGUGUAGAGGUGAAAUUCGUAGAUAUCGAGAGGAACACCGGUGGCGAAGGCGGCCUUCUGGACAGCCACUGACGCUGAGACGCGAAAGCGUGGGGAGCAAACAGG